rnacentral:misc_RNA from 1 species
GGAAUUUAAGCAAAGAAUAAAGCAUAUAGUGGAAAUAAUUGAAGAAGUAGAAUGGGAGAACAUUGACCCUGAUACGCUAACAAGUAAAUUCAUCAGUGACAUUGUCAUGUCUGUCUCAUCUUCAAUUUCUAUGAGGGAUCGAAAUUCCGAAGGUGCUCGCUUUGAACUUCUGUCUGCGAAAUACAGUGCUGUUGUUUUAGAAAAUGAAAAUUCCAGCAUUCAUAUUGAUGCUGUCAUUGACCCCUUGAGCUCAUCUGGUCAAAAGUUGUCUUCUCUUCUUCGGCUUGUGUCAAAGUCCGUUCGGCCAAGCAUGAGGCUUGUACUCAACCCCAUGAGUUCACUGGUUGAUCUUCCAUUGAAGAACUACUACAGAUAUGUUAUACCAACACUGGAUGACUUUAGUAGUACAGAUUACACCAUUUAUGGUCCCAAAGCGUUUUUUGCUAAUAUGCCACCUUCUAAGACGCUAACUAUGAAUCUUGAUGUUCCUGAGCCA